rfam:Lachnospiraceae bacterium 3-1 genomic scaffold acPFp-supercont1.1, whole genome shotgun sequence.
UCCUCGAUAGCUCAAUGGUAGAGCACGCGGCUGUUAACCGCGGGGUUGUUGGUUCGAGCCCAACUCGGGGAG